UACGAAGGGGGCUAGCGUUGUCCGGAAUCAUUGGGCGUAAAGCGCGCGUAGGCGGCCCUGUAAGUCCGUUGUGAAAGUCAAAGGCUCAACCUUUGAAAGCCGAUGGAUACUGCAGGGCUAGAGUCCGGAAGAGGCGAGUGGAAUUCCUGGUGUAGCGGUGGAAUGCGCAGAUAUCAGGAGGAACACCAAUAGCGAAGGCAGCUCGCUGGGACGGUACUGACGCUAAGGCGCGAAAGCGUGGGGAGCGAACAGG
rnacentral:rRNA from 1 species